GUGCAACUCUCUUGUUGAUUUCUUGAGAGUUCAUUAGCCAUCGACAUCCUUUCCACCACACACCUUGCAUCACCUAUCAAUCAAUGCCCAUGUGCAAACUUGUGGACCAGCUACCAAUUAAACAUCCUCUUCCAUGGCAAUUCUAAAGGUAACAUUCAUGCCAUGAGGAUUUUCAUCUUUCUUACAAAGAAAUAUCAUCCCACUGUUCUAGGGAGACAACAUUGGCAGCAUUUUCUUUGGAGCUUCCAGCCGAACUAGCCCCAUUAUUUGGACAAUUAUUUUUAACAUGUCCUAGUUGUUUACAAUUCCAGCAGAUGACCUUCUUCUUAGAGCUUUGCU
rnacentral:lncRNA from 1 species